CUAAAAGCCAGGUAGUCCAGUGGCCAGUCCCUGUUUUUUUUUGCAGAAAGAUAGAAUGAUCUGCAAGGAAAAAGUACUUGUGGCCUCAUAAAAACAGCAGGUCCAUUACAUGAACCACACAUGUUCCCUGCUUUAUGUACUCUGUGAAAACUCAACAGGUGGCAUUAGUACUAUGGCUAGUGGGAUGGAUACUCCCCCUCUACUCAUCCCUAGUGAGGCACAUCUGGAAUGCUCUGUCCUAUUCUGGGCUCCUCGGGACAAGAGAGACAUGGAGCCCCUGGAGCAGGUACAGUGAAGGGUGACAAAGAUGAUGAAGGGGCUGAAGCAUUUUUCCUGUGUGGACAGGCUGAGGGAACUGUUCAGCCUGAAGAAGAGGUGACUUGGAGGGGACCUUACCAAUGCCUAUGGAAAAUGUAAUGUGAAAAUGUAAAUGCAUAUUGUUGAUAAUGCAUAAAUUUUAUGAUCUUGUAAAUAGGAAUUAAAAAGUCAAAGAACUUGA